CUCCCGCUUGCGAGGGGCCUCCCCACAGUGUGUCAGGGAGGGACGUUUGUUCACCCAUUUUCCACACCCAGGGAACUGGAAGGGUCAGAGAUCCCAAACCUAGAGACUGUGAAGCCAGGCCUUUAAUUUGCAGACUGGGAAUUUGAGGCCUGCAGAAGAGAAGGUGUUUUUAGGGUCGCGCGGCUAUUGAGACCAAGCAGAGCUGGCCUUGGAGCCCACGUUUGCUGCAUUUCAGGUUCAGGCCUCUCUCCCUGUUUCCCUGCGGAAGCUUGACCCUCUUGUCUUCCUGGGGACAUUCACUUAGGUGGAUGGGUGCCUGAUGGACAAGGGCAUGGCCAGAAGGAUGAUUGGAAGAACGGAUGCAUGUGUGGAUGGAUGGAAGGAGGAAGGUGUAGAUGGGCGGGUGGAUGGAAGGAGGAAGGUGUAGACGGGUGGGUGGAUGGAAGGAGAAAGGCAUAGAUGGGCGGGUGGAUGGAUGGAAGGAGGAAGGUGUAGACGGGUGGGUGGAUGGAAGGAGGAAGGCAUAGAUGGGCGGGUGGAUGGAAGGAGGAAGGUGUAGACGGGUGGGUGGAUGGAAGGAGAAAGGCAUAGAUGGGCGGGUGGAUGGAAGGAGGAA
rnacentral:lncRNA from 1 species